rnacentral:rRNA from 1 species
AGAGUUUGAUCCUGGCUCAGGACGAACGCUGGCGGCGCGCCUAACACAUGCAAGUCGAACGGAGCUGAGAGGAGCUUGCUUUUCUUAGCUUAGUGGCGAACGGGUGAGUAACGCGUGAGUAACCUGCCCUGGAGUGGGGGACAACAGUUGGAAACGACUGCUAAUACCGCAUAAGCCCACGAUCCGGCAUCGGAUUGAGGGAAAAGGAUUUAUUCGCUUCAGGAUGGACUCGCGUCCAAUUAGCUAGUUGGUGAGGUAACGGCCCACCAAGGCGACGAUUGGUAGCCGGACUGAGAGGUUGAACGGCCACAUUGGGACUGAGACACGGCCCAGACUCCUACGGGAGGCAGCAGUGGGGGAUAUUGCACAAUGGGGGAAACCCUGAUGCAGCGACGCCGCGUGGAGGAAGAAGGUUUUCGGAUUGUAAACUCCUGUCGUUAGGGACGAUAAUGACGGUACCUAACAAGAAAGCACCGGCUAACUACGUGCCAGCAGCCGCGGUAAAACGUAGGGUGCAAGCGUUGUCCGGAAUUACUGGGUGUAAAGGGAGCGCAGGCGGGAAGACAAGUUGGAAGUGAAAACUAUGGGCUCAACCCAUGAAUUGCUUUCAAAACUGUUUUUCUUGAGUAGUGCAGAGGUAGGUGGAAUUCCCGGUGUAGCGGUGGAAUGCGUAGAUAUCGGGAGGAACACCAGUGGCGAAGGCGGCCUACUGGGCACCAACUGACGCUGAGGCUCGAAAGCAUGGGUAGCAAACAGGAUUAGAUACCCUGGUAGUCCAUGCCGUAAACGAUGAUUACUAGGUGUUGGAGGAUUGACCCCUUCAGUGCCGCAGUUAACACAAUAAGUAAUCCACCUGGGGAGUACGACCGCAAGGUUGAAACUCAAAGGAAUUGACGGGGGCCCGCACAA